GCGCCAAUGGUCCAGCGGUAGGAUAAUUGCCUUCCAAGCAAUUGGCAGGGGUUCGACUCCCCUUUGGCGCA